ensembl:lncRNA
UGUGUGUGUGUGUUUCCUUGAACUGAGGGGGAAAAACCCCCGUUUACUUCAAGCUCACGUGUAAUGGAAGUCUAAGUUCAGCUGUUAAAUGGUUUGUUUUUUUGCAAAACAUUUUUGUCCACUGUCAUGAAUUCCUUAGCACUUUUUUUUUUUGUGGUAAAUUAAGCCGCCUAAUUUAGGACUGGUAUCCCUAAUAACGAUGAUAAUUAUAAUUAUGAGAUAGCGAGUCAUAAUUCUGAGAUACUAAGUCGUGAUUUUUAGAUAACAGGUCGACGUUUUCAGUUAAUAGACUUGUAACUCGAAAUGAACACUCGGUAUCUCAGAUGACUUUAAUUAUCUCAUAAUUAUGACUUCGUAUGUCAAAAUGAUUACUGAUGAUCUCAAUGACGAUAGUAUCUUGAAAUGAUGAACUGUCUCUUAAUUAUGACUUAGUAUCUCAAAAUGUUGAAUUAUCUCAACUUUGUGACUUAUAGUAUCACGAAAGUAUGACGUGUUUUUAUUGUGAUUUAGUAUCUCGUGAUGAUGAAUUAUCUCAGUUAUUACAAUAUCUCGUAACGAUGACUCGUCUCACAAUCAUGACUUAAUAUCUCAUUGAUUAACUAUCUCGAUUAUUAAAAUAUCUCAUAAUGAUGAAUUGUCUCAUAAUUAUGGCUUGUUUUAAUGAUGAUUUAGUAUCUCGUGAUGAUGAAUUAUCUCACUUAUUACAAUAUCUCGUGAUGAUGACUCAUCUCAUAAUCAUGACUUAAUAUCUCGUAUUGAUUAUCUCAAUUACUAUAAUAUCUCGUAAUGAUGAAUUAUCUCAUAAUUACAAUAUCAGGUAAUGAUGAAUUAUCUCAUAAUUACAAUAUCAGGUAAUGAUGAAUUAUCUCAUAAUUAUGACUUGUUUUAAUGAUGACAAUAUCUAGUAAUGAUGAAUUCUCAUAAUCAUGACUUACAGUAUAAUGAAACUAUGACUUGUUUUAAUUAUGAUUUAGUAUCUCGUAAUGAUGAAUUCAUCUCAUAAUUAUUACAAUAUCUGGAAAUGAUGAAUUAUCUCAUAAUUUAUGACUUAGUAUCUCAAAACUAUGAGGCAUUACCUAGAAUUUAUAACUUGCUUUCUCGUGAUUUUGACUUUUUUUUUUGUUUUUUUUUUAACUGGAGGAAAUGGGCUUCCAUACACCACAAAACCUUUGGAAAAGUCUAAAGUAACCUGUACUUUUUAUUUAUUUAUUUUUUUUCCUUUACCGCACCGUCGCUCCACCCUCACACCUCUAUCGCUCGGUGUCGGUUCGAGUUCCUGCGUUUAUUCGCGUCUAUUAAACUUUUAUUAAACAUUUAAAAGUGACGUACAUUACGUUCGGCUUCUCGGUUCCGUCGUAUAUGAAGUCGAUAUUUUCAUACCACUUUUUAUACCUGAAAACCUUCAGAGUCAUGAAGUAGACAAAGUAAAAGAAGAGAAGUUAGACAUACUGUAUUUCUCGAAGUUUAACCCAGAAUUCUGGUGUAAAGGUGCGACCGGGUAUGAAUACACUCUCCAGAUUGAUCAGAUAGUACAUCCUAAACGGAUAUGGAUACAGACACGGAAAACUGGCAGAGCGUCGGAAUGCUUUCCAGAAAGUUCUACGUUUAAAUAACGAUAACAAUAAUAAUAAUAAAAAGGCUUUGAGGAUUUUACUUUAAUGUUUAAUCCGGUGCUGGGUGUCAGAUGGGACAAUUUAAUAGUCACGCAGGACGUUGAACGACCCUGACGUCAUUAAGACACUCUUCUUGAUGCGCGACACGACGUGGUGCUCGGACACACCGACUGAACCCGGGAAUUCGCUGAAUCGUGGGUCUUUCCAGACGUGUCUCGUGUUCUUCCUUUCGACGUUUCGCAGCUACCGAGCUAUAAAGCGACAAAAGUUACAAGUUUCUUAUCGGUGCAACAGCAGCAUGAGGUUUCAUGCUCAUAAAUAAAACGCUCAAGGCGGUGUUGUGCACGUUCAGCUGCGUGCAUCAGCAAAUCAUUAACAUUACAGGCGCUAAAUCGAGCGCCGAGAGAGCGGACGAGCCUGCCGAGGAGCACAAGUGUGAGCGACAGCUGAGUCGUCAGCUGUAUAAAGAAUGGCUGAGCUCAGGGAAAGUGCUGAGAAAGCACACACACACACACACACUCUCUCUCUCUAGCUCACUGUAAGGUUUGCUACAUGCACACAGAGCAUUUAUGCAUUCAAGGAAACACUCAGGAAUGACCCCAGGGUCAUGAGCUCUGACCCCCAAGAGGUCGGAGCUGCGUGAUGCUAUCAGGCUGAACAAACACUGUGAGCCACAGGUGCGUGAUGAUAGCAGCCUCCGCAGGCCCACAGAGAAACACAAUGGCACAGGGUUUUUCACGAGACGUCUCGCACCAUGAACAAACAACUCGAGCGUGAGGGAGGAAAACACACCAUUGUCACGUCAGCUCGAGAUAACACACACACACACACACAUACCCAGUCCAAAGACAUGCCCGGCAGGCUGAUUGGCGUGUCUAAAGUGUCCAUAGUGUAUGAAUGUGUGUGAUUGUGCACUGCGAUGGAUUGGCACCUCGUCCAGGGUGUACCCGCCUUGUGCCCCAUGCUCCUUGGACUAGGCUCCAGGUUCCACGUGACCCUGAAGGAUAAGCGGUGUAGAAGACGGAUGGAUAUUAACGCGCUCGUUUCUACCGAAUACGUCAUCGUCGCUCUAGUAAGAGCUCGUUCACAGGGACUUGUACGGCGGACGCUCCACAUAGACGGAUUAAACGCCGCGUGUAAUCGUCGAUACUGUGAAGUUUUCAGUAAUUCAUGGAAGGAGUCUCCGGUGUCAGACUGUUUACAGCUGCCGUGAUGUACGUGAGAACAGGAACCAGCCUUCUCGUGGACGUUCCUCGACGUUAAAUGUGACUAUGAAUGGAGAAAACGCACGACGGGUCAAAUCGCUGUGGUGUAAGAGGAAUAAAACACUUCAGGACCUGCUGUGGUGGGAAACGGCGACUCCCAGCGUGCGGCCUGAUUGGGGUUGACGCGUGACGGCAGCCUGAAAUGUUAACGCAAAAGAAAGCAGGAAGUGAAAAGGGAUCAAAAAGGAAGGAAGGACGGGGAAAAAAGAGAGAGAGAUAUUUAUGUUUUUCUACAUUUGGUUUUCAUUACAAGGAAAACACAUCAUUUGUUUCUCCGCUCGGAAAGGAAGAAAAACAUUGCUUGAUGGAAGACAGACGCACGGUAGGUGUGGGAGAUUUCUAAGCGAGGAUCCACACUGACUGCAGUCUCACUCCAGAUUAGUGCUAAGCUGCGGCGUGUAAAUCCGUCACGGUUAUUCUGGAAGGUCACGUAGUUCAGACUCUUCGCCGAGCUCCUCAUCGAUCACACCCACUGCGUUAUCACCGCACGUAUUAAGCGUAACUGCAUUCUGACCUCACGUGUAAUAAAUCACGGCGAGCUGGAGCGAGGGAAACGCAGACGGCUCGUACACGGACGUGUGUGCUGUGGGGGGGGGUGGGGGGGGACCACACCCAUGCACAGCGUUGAAAUACCCUCUUCAGAGUCGCUGAAGCAUGAUCAGAAAGUUGAUAGAAGUUGCUAGGUGACGUCACGGACUAAUUUACAUAUUCAGCGAUUCGUCUUGAUCAUUUGCAAACUCCAAAUGAGGGACUAUAUGAACAUGAAGAUGUUUUUGAAGACACUUAGAACAGAAGAGAUCAGUGGUGAUCAGCGAUUGGUCGACGGGAACAAAUGUGAUCAGCGAUUGGUCGACAGGAAGAAAUGUGAUCAGCGAUUGGUCGACGGGAACAAAUGUGAUCAGCGAUUGGUCGACAGGAAGAAAUGUGAUCAGCGAUUGGUCGACGGGAACAAAUGUGAUCAGCGAUUGGUCGACAGGAAGAAAUGUGAUCAGCGAUUGGUUGACGGGAACAACAGCCAUCGGUCGACAGGAACAAAUGUGAUCAGCGAUUGGUCGACGGGAAGAACAGCCAUCAGCGAUUGGCCGACGGGAACACUGGCUUUUGACACUGUGAACACUGUGACGUGAGCUGGAGAGCCGUAUCAAGUGCAGGACUCUCGCUGACAUCUGCUCAGUCACUAAAGGUUUGUAAAAAGUCGCCAAAUCUAGAGAUAAAGCCCAUGAACACGGUAGCCGUGGAAACGUGCCAUUAACACACUUUUUCCACAAGCGGGCUUUGGAGAUAAGUCACUUGAACAGCUGCAUGAAUAAAAGACCCAAGUGCAUUCACGCAAAGAAAACGGUGAUGGGAGAAAGAAAGCAAAAAAAAGAGAAAAAAGACAAGAAAAGGAAGGAAAAAGAGUAAGAAACGCACAAGUAAGACAAAGACCAGGAAAGAGAGAGAGAGAGAGAGAGAGAGAGAGAGAGAGAGAGGGAGAGAGAGAGAGAGAGAGAGAGAGGGAGAGAGAGAGAGAGGGAGAGAGAGAGAGAGGGAGAGAGAGAGAGAGGGGGGGGG